UACGUAGGGGCCUAGCGUUGUCCGGAUUUAUUGGGCGUAAAGAGCUCGUAGGCGGUUUGGCAAGUCGGGUGUGAAAACUCCGGGCUCAACUCGGAGACGCCACUCGAUACUGCCAUGUCUCGAGUCCGGUAGGGGAGUGCGGAAUUCCUGGUGUAGCGGUGAAAUGCGCAGAUAUCAGGAGGAACACCGGUGGCGAAGGCGGCACUCUGGGCCGGUACUGACGCUGAGGAGCGAAAGCGUGGGGAGCAAACAGG
rnacentral:rRNA from 1 species